CACUCUGUAACAUGGUGUAACCUACCUGGAGAAGUUGUGAGUAAAUUGGGCCAAUUGGGUGAAAGUAUUUAAAACCAGAUAAACUCUAAAUUCCAGGGGACAGAAAAGUGGCUACAAUAGAAGAGGGGGGGAAGGAAGCCUAUCCAAUAAUGUCUCUGGCAAGAAGAAAAGAAAAAGUUCCAGUCUGGUGAAAGGCUCAUGAAAGAUGAACGCAUUUUAAACCUGCAGAAGAAGAUUGUAGAAAAAACAAUGGAGCGUAAAAAGCAAGCAGGACUCUUGAAGAUUAUCCCCCAGAAAACCAGAAUUGUGUCAAGCAAGGAUUCCUUGCAAUGGGACCAUUGGAAAAAAUUAGAAGAGAGUCGGGAAAGACAGUUCAGAAUCCUUCAGCAUGGCUUUAUGGACAGAGAAGCAGCUCAGAAAAGGGAGCUCAUUGCAGCAGCACGAAGUGGAGCCAAAGCCUGUGUACUGCGCUCUGAUUUAAAAUAAAAAUACAUUUGGAACAAAUUCAGGCCUGCUGGAAAUAUCUGAUUACCUGUUUAC
rnacentral:lncRNA from 1 species